GAUGAACGCUGGCGGCGUGCCUAAUACAUGCAAGUCGAGCGAAUGAAGAGGAGCUUGCUCCUCUGAUUUAGCGGCGGACGGGUGAGUAACACGUGAGCAACCUGCCUUCAGCUGGGGAAUAACAUUGGGAAACCAGUGCUAAUACCGCAUGACAUCACGAGAGGACAUCCUCUUGUGAUCAAAGGAUUUCGAUCCGGGCCGAAGAUGGGCUCGCGUCCGAUUAGUUAGUUGGUGAGGUAACGGCUCACCAAGACCGCGAUCGGUAGCCGAACUGAGAGGUUGAUCGGCCACAUUGGGACUGAGACACGGCCCAGACUCCUACGGGAGGCAG
rnacentral:rRNA from 1 species